rnacentral:lncRNA from 1 species
AGCAAUUAAUUUCCAAUUCGACAUCAAUUUGAUCCUUUUCAACCAAGUUGAUUAAAAUUUCAGUUUUCGAGUCAAAAUGACAAUUGGAUUUCUUUAGCCAUUCCAAUUCCAUUUUUUAUCUAUUCUCACACUUCCAAAAUAUCUCAUUUGCUGUUCUCAAACCUCUAAUUAAAUUUAGAAUUUUCUAAUUUCCAUUUUAACAUUAUUGUGAUCACUUUGAUCACAAUUAGCUCGAGAGAGAUUUUCGAUACAUUACAAAAAUACCCCGCAACUUCAUAAUUUUAGAAGUUCUGUCACGCCCCGGGACCGGCGGAGGCCCUCCCGGUAGCGUGCCUAGACCCGCCAUAUGUCUACACAUAUAAGGCGUCUACAAUAAAAGCGGAGGUAAAAACAAGAAAUAGUACAAAUAGAGCAGUAACAACUAGUGAUAUCAGAGCGAGCAAGGUUCUAUCAU